GACGAACGCUGGCGGCGUGCUUAACACAUGCAAGUCGAACGGAAAGGCCCUGCUUUUGUGGGGUGCUCGAGUGGCGAACGGGUGUGUAACACGUGAGUAACCUGCCCUUGACUUGGGGAUAACUUCAGGAAACUGGGGCUAAUACCGGAUAGGAGCUCCUGCUGCAUGGUGGGGGUUGGAAAGUUUCGGCGGUUGGGGAUGGACUCGCGGCUUAUCAGCUUGUUGGUGGGGUAGUGGCUUACCAAGGCUUUGACGGGUAGCCGGCCUGAGAGGGUGACCGGCCACAUUGGGACUGAGAUACGGCCCAGACUCCUACGGGAGGCAGCAGUGGGGAAUAUUGCACAAUGGGCGGAAGCCUGAUGCAGCAACGCCGCGUGCGGGAUGACGGCCUUCGGGUUGUAAACCGCUUUCGCCUGUGACGAAGCGUGAGUGACGGUAAUGGGUAAAGAAGCACCGGCUAACUACGUG
rnacentral:rRNA from 1 species